rnacentral:rRNA from 1 species
AUGAACGCUAGCUACAGGCUUAACACAUGCAAGUCGAGGGGCAGCAUUUUAGUUUGCUUGCAAACUGAAGAUGGCGACCGGCGCACGGGUGAGUAACACGUAUCCAACCUGCCGAUAACUCCGGAAUAGCCUUUCGAAAGAAAGAUUAAUACCGGAUAGUAUACGAAUAUCGCAUGAUAUUUUUAUUAAAGAAUUUCGGUUAUCGAUGGGGAUGCGUUCCAUUAGUUUGUUGGCGGGGUAACGGCCCACCAAGACUACGAUGGAUAGGGGUUCUGAGAGGAAGGUCCCCCACAUUGGAACUGAGACACGGUCCAAACUCCUACGGGAGGCAGCAGUGAGGAAUAUUGGUCAAUGGGCGAGAGCCUGAACCAGCCAAGUAGCGUGAAGGAUGAAGGCUCUAUGGGUCGUAAACUUCUUUUAUAUGGGAAUAAAGUUUUCCACGUGUGGAAUUUUGUAUGUACCAUAUGAAUAAGGAUCGGCUAACUCCGUGCCAGCAGCCGCGGUAAUACGGAGGAUCCGAGCGUUAUCCGGAUUUAUUGGGUUUAAAGGGAGCGUAGGUGGAUUGUUAAGUCAGUUGUGAAAGUUUGCGGCUCAACCGUAAAAUUGCAGUUGAAACUGGGAGUCUUGAGUACAGUAGAGGUGGGCGGAAUUCGUGGUGUAGCGGUGAAAUGCUUAGAUAUCACGAAGAACUCCGAUUGCGAAGGCAGCUCACUAGACUGUCACUGACACUGAUGCUCGAAAGUGUGGGUAUCAAACAGGAUUAGAUACCCUGGUAGUCCACACAGUAAACGAUGAAUACUCGCUGUUUGCGAUAUACAGUAAGCGGCCAAGCGAAAGCAUUAAGUAUUCCACCUGGGGAGUACGCCGGCAACGGUGAAACUCAAAGGAAUUGACGGGGGCCCGCACAAGCGGAGGAACAUGUGGUUUAAUUCGAUGAUACGCGAGGAACCUUACCCGGGCUUAAAUUGCAACAGAAUAUAUUGGAAACAGUAUAGCCGUAAGGCUGUUGUGAAGGUGCUGCAUGGUUGUCGUCAGCUCGCGCCGUGAGGUGUCGGCUUAAGUGCCAUAACGAGCGCAACCCUUAUCUUUAGUUACUAACAGGUCAUGCUGAGGACUCUAGAGAGACUGCCGUCGUAAGAUGUGAGGAAGGUGGGGAUGACGUCAAAUCAGCACGGCCCUUACGUCCGGGGCUACACACGUGUUACAAUGGGGGGUACAGAAGGCGGCUACCUGGUGACAGGAUGCUAAUCCCAAAAACCUCUCUCAGUUCGGAUCGAAGUCUGCAACCCGACUUCGUGAAGCUGGAUUCGCUAGUAAUCGCGCAUCAGCCAUGGCGCGGUGAAUACGUUCCCGGGCCUUGUACACACCGCCCGUCAAGCCAUGAAAGCCGGGGGUACCUGAAGUACGUAACCGCAAGGAGCGUCCUAGGGUAAAACUGGUAAUUGGGGCU